rnacentral:rRNA from 2 species
UGGGGAAUAUUGGACAAUGGGCGAAAGCCUGAUCCAGCAAUGCCGCGUGAGUGAUGAAGGCCUUAGGGUUGUAAAGCUCUUUUACCCGGGAUGAUAAUGACAGUACCGGGAGAAUAAGCCCCGGCUAACUCCGUGCCAGCAGCCGCGGUAAUACGGAGGGGGCUAGCGUUGUUCGGAAUUACUGGGCGUAAAGCGCACGUAGGCGGCUUUGUAAGUUAGAGGUGAAAGCCCGGAGCUCAACUCCGGAACUGCCUUUAAGACUGCAUCGCUUGAACGUCGGAGAGGUAAGUGGAAUUCCGAGUGUAGAGGUGAAAUUCGUAGAUAUUCGGAAGAACACCAGUGGCGAAGGCGACUUACUGGACGACUGUUGACGCUGAGGUGCGAAAGCGUGGGGAGCAAACAGG